UUAGGAAUAUUCGUCAAUGGAGGGAACUCUGAACGAGCAAUGCCGCGUGAAGGAAGACGGUCCUUUGGAUUGUAAACUUCUGUUGUUAGGAACGAAACACUUAAGUAGGAAAUGACUUAAGCUUGACGGUACCUUUCAAGAAAGCUCCGGCUAACUACGUGCCAGCAGCCGCGGUAAUACGUAGGGAGCGAGCGUUAUCCGGAUUUAUUGGGUGUAAAGCGUGUGUAGGCGGUUUUUUAAGUCUGUGGUCUAAGCCUGGAGCUCAACUCCAGUUCGCCAUGGAAACUGAAAAACUUGAGUAUGGUAGAGGCAAGUGGAAUUUCUAGUGUAGCGGUGGAAUGCGUAGAUAUUAGAAGGAACACCAGUGGCGAAGGCGGCUUGCUGGGCCAUCACUGACGCU
rnacentral:rRNA from 1 species